CUGAUGUCCCCGGCAUUGUAUUACAGUUUCCUCUGGGAAUUACAGACCUCUGCUCAUUGCCAGAGGCACUAAGCAUCUGUAGGAUGCACAAGGCACAAGUGUGGAAUAAACAAGAUUCCAGAGCUAGGAAAAGGGACUGUCAGGCACAGGGAGCUAGGAGGCUGACAGGGCCCUAACAGGACGUACCUACCAGAGAGACAAACUGGCCCCACCUGACCAGUCCUGGAACUAAAGCCAGUCCCAGAAGCAUGAAAGGUCUGGAUUUAGAGCAAAAAAAUGCAAAUGUGACUGUGGAGAAAAUACCAAAAGAAGUAUACCAUCCAUGCCCCCUGGGCUAUGCUGGGCAAGACUGGAGCAGAAAACUGGGCUAGAAGGGGAAACACCAUUAACCACAGGUA
rnacentral:lncRNA from 1 species